rnacentral:rRNA from 1 species
GAUGAACGCUGCCAGAAUGCUUAACACAUGCAAGUCAACUUGAACUUCGGUUUGGGUGGCGGACGGGUGAGUAACGCGUAAAGAACUUGCAUCACAGCUAGGGACAACAUUUGGAAACGAAUGCUAAUACCUGAUAUUAUGAUUUUAGGGCAUCCUAGAAUUAUGAAAGCUAUAUGCGCUGUGAGAGAGCUUUGCGUCCCAUUAGCUAGUUGGAGAGGUAACGGCUCACCAAGGCGAUGAUGGGUAGCCGGCCUGAGAGGGUGAACGGCCACAAGGGGACUGAGACACGGCCCUUACUCCUACGGGAGGCAGCAGUGGGGAAUAUUGGACAAUGGACCAAGAGUCUGAUCCAGCAAUUCUGUGUGCACGAUGAAGUUUUUCGGAAUGUAAAGUGCUUUCAGUUGGGAAGAAAAAAAUGACGGUACCAACAGAAGAAGUGACGGCUAAAUACGUG